rnacentral:rRNA from 1 species
UGAGGAAUAUUGGGCAAUGCCCGCAAGGGUGACCCAGCAACGCCGCGUGGAGGAUGAAUGUCGUAAGAUUGUAAACUCCUGUUAGAGGGGAAGAAUAGUACCGGUUGGACCGGUAUAUGACUGUACCCUCAGAGAAAGCCCCGGCUAACUACGUGCCAGCAGCCGCGGUAAUACGUAGGGGGCAAGCGUUGUCCGGAUUUACUGGGUGUAAAGGGCGCGCAGGCGGGAUAAAAAGUCAGUGGUGAAAUCCUACAGCUUAACUGUAGAACGGACUAUGAUACUUUUAUUCUUGAGUUCGGGAGAGAGAGACGGAAUUCCAGGUGUAGUGGUGAAAUACGUAGAUAUCUGGAAGAACACCAGUUGCGAAGGCGGUCUCUUGGUCCGACACUGACGCUGAGGCGCGAAAGCGUGGGGAGCAAGCA